rnacentral:rRNA from 1 species
GAUGAACGCUGGCGGCGUGCUUAACACAUGCAAGUCGAACGGAAAGGCUCCUGCUUGCUGGGGUACUCGAGUGGCGAACGGGUGAGUAACACGUGGGUGAUCUGCCCUGCACUUCGGGAUAAGCCUGGGAAACUGGGUCUAAUACCGGAUAGGACGAUGGUUUGGAUGCCAUUGUGGAAAGUUUUUUCGGUGUGGGAUGAGCUCGCGGCCUAUCAGCUUGUUGGUGGGGUAAUGGCCUACCAAGGCGUCGACGGGUAGCCGGCCCGAGAGGGUGUACGGCCACAUUGGGACUGAGAUACGGCCCAGACUCCUACGGGAGGCAGCAGUGGGGAAUAUUGCACAAUGGGCGCAAGCCUGAUGCAGCGACGCCGCGUGGGGGAUGACGGCCUUCGGGUUGUAAACUCCUUUCGCUAGGGACGAAGCGCAAGUGACGGUACCUGGAGAAGAAGCACCGGCUAACUACGUG